rnacentral:lncRNA from 1 species
AUGAGCAACUACACAAACUAUCAGUCAAAUCAGGGUUUUUUCCCGACCGACUCGAACAAUGCCUACGAAGCGACUAACUUCAACUCAAACGAUGGCUACACCUAUCCGCUGGCCAAUGAUACAGUCCCCUUUAACGCUUCUGUCCCACCACCAACCACCACUGCGCCCAUGGAGGACUCCUCAGUUUUGAAUAACUCAAGCUUUUCCAGUUUUAUGGGAAAUUUCAACUUGCCUUUAGAUAUACAGACUCUGUUCAAGCAAGACGCUGAUAUAGAAACUCCUGCCUCUCCACCAAUAGAUCAACAGAUAGAUGAAUUGUUAGACUCUCCUUCCAAUGGGGCAGAGGGCAAGCCUAUUGAAGUGAUCAGCUCCACGGCCAAACCAAAUGAUUUAAAUUUCAAUGUAUCCGAAUUUUUAAAGUCACUGAUGCCAACAUCAAUGCCCGACAUCGGAAGCACAGCACCUCAACCAGUUCCAGAUCCGGCGUUGGAGAUCCCUGUUUCGCAAGAAGUGCCGAUGGUUCCUCCACCACCCAUGCCUCCGGAUGUGUUCUUCAAAGAAGAAUUCAACGACUUCAAACGUACCAACGGCAAUAAAGGCUGGAACUCUGCCUUACCAGCGAAAUUCCCAUCCUGGAAUCAGCCCAAUCCUGCUUGGGAAGUCCCCGACACACCGAGUUCUCCGCCGACCUUUGAAAAAGAGUCCUACGUUGAACCGAUUGAAUAUAACGACACGACAGGGAAUUCCAUGGUUGGAACGGAUCAGGACGAUCGACGCAUCCCGUUCAAACAAGCCAUGAAGGAUACAGACCAUCGGCUACUCGACCGACGAACACAGUCACUCCGCGGGCAUAAGGAUGUGGAUCAUCGCAAUCUCAUUAGUCUGACAGGAUCUCCGAAGCAAGAUUCUAAAACAGAAAAGAAAAGCAACUUUGAUUAUAAGUCGAUCCCAAUGCCUCCGACGCCACCUUCAAUACCUGCAAUUUUCGAUGCUCCCCCACCGCCUAUCCCUGCGCCCCCAGUUCCUCCUAUGAUUCCUGACAUUUCAAUUCCCCCACCCAUUAUUUCCAUUCCUCCUCCCCUAACCUCUAUUCCUCCGCCGAUGAACUCACUCCCUCCUCCACCGAAAAUGUCGACAAUGUCGAGAGUGUCGAUAUGGAAAUGUCAGACGACGAAGACCAUGCUAGCGGGAAGGAAGCCUCGCCUUUUCGAUCAAAAAACAGCUCCGCAAACACUAGCUGUGAAACUAUGAGAGACUCGCCUUCCAAGUUAGAUCAAACCGACUUGUACUCGGAUAUUCCCACCCCAAAGGCGGAUGGAAAUGAAUCAAUGAAAGAUAUGGACAUGUUCUCGCAAACGUUUGAGAUACCAAAACCAGUCAACAAAGCGCUAGCAGCGGUCGUCAAAGACCCGUCAGUGGACCCAAUACUCCCAUCGAAGGAUCUCUUUUCACCCCGGUCACACCGGGGAUGUUGUUGAAUGACGACGAUGCUCAGGAAUUGACUGAUAUCAACUUCUCCAAGUCUUUCAUGGACGAAACAUCAGCUUUCCUGAAUGAAUUUGAUAGUCAAGAGCUGUUGAAAGACCCGCCGCCCAUAGCAAGCGACGAGCAGUUUCCAACGGAUCUUCUCGAUGGUAGUAUAAGUGAUAGUGAAUCAGUGAAUAGUCCUAACUUCCAAAAACGAACUGCUACGUCGGACCCUAGGUUUCGUUCUCCAGUCAUUAAUAAUAGUCCUGUAGGAAAUUUCAACAGUGUUCGGACUCCCGGGUGGCAGAAUUCGCCGCGGCAGUUUAGGCCUAGGUUCAACCAACCAACCGCUCCCAAUCAAUUUCGACCUAAUUCGAGAGGCUUUCGGCCACGGACAAGGCCGAGCCCAGGCACAUUCAGAGGCCGCCCGUUCUUCUCAAGUUGGCAAUGAUGAAGUCAAUGUCUUUCCUAUGUUUUUGCGUAAGUUUCUCUCCGUUGUUGUUAGAAUCGUUCGGAUUGCUACACGCAACUGUUGUUUUGUAAUACGUGGACCAAUUUCGAUUUCAUUUUCCUUCAAGCUACAAGGGAUGUGCUCCAAACUCCAACAAUGGUGGCUUGUUUCUUGUCGACACAAAUCUUAAUGAAUGACGAAUUGUACGCUAUAACUGACGUAGUAAAUUAGGGGUUAAAAUUUGGCCUGUAGUAGUCAACACAGUUGGAAAAGCGGCACGCUAAUGUCUUAGUAUGCUCAAGUCUACAUCGAAAUUUUAACCAAGAUGCAAGCUGAAAUGAACGAGGUAAAAUUAUUCUGCUUUAGGUCGCACCUGGAAAUGAUGCAUAAAAUAUUAGUGACAAAUGAAUUUUUGAAAGUCAUUGGUUAGACAUGGCGGCGAAAUAUUUGAUGCGAGAGUAAUUGAUGAAUGUGCAAUAUUAGCAUUGUUCUAGUCUUCGAACACAAAAACGCUUGAUGGAUAUUCAACAGUCUUUUGUGUAUGAGGUCUUUAAAGGCUCUACGUAUCACCAAUGUUUUCAGUGUGCUCGUGCUUGAAACUAAGCUCUCUUGCACAGACCGUCAGGAAGGAGAUUUAUGCAGUUUUACAAAUAGUCCUCCACAUUUAUUUAUGAAGCAGUAAACCAGCACAAUUUUCUCUAUUUAUUUUCUCGAUCUAUGAACAAAAGAAUUAAUGAACAGAGGCGAACUCUUUCUUCCAAUGUCAAAAUUUCAUCCCCUCUGUUUUUGAUGGAUGUUGGUGGUUUUUCAAGGAAGAAAAUAAGAAAAUUCCAGCUCUAAAUUUUAUAAUUCAACCUUGAAGAAGUCGCUUUUUUUCACAGCCUGAGGAGGAGAUUCCCUAGAAAAUUGAGAAUUGGUUCUUUCUAGAAUGCGUCAAAUACUCAAAAUUAUCAGGCAAAGCCAACUCACACUAAGCUGUUGCACUUUGAUAGUUUAAAGAAAGGCAAAAUUAGUAAUUAAGUCAUUCUCUUUACCCAGUUGAGCCUAAGUUGCUUGAUUCUCUUAAUAGUAGCUAUGAAUGAAAGUCUAUCGCAUUAUUUUUAAAACACAUUAGUUUUAUGAUUUUGAAACCAAAAAAAACGUGCAUCUUUAUCUUGGUGUUUGAAAAUUUAUGCUUUUAGAUGGUUAAAGUCUAAUUGAAAAGGUACACGUCAGUUUUUUAUGCAGCCAAUCAUGAAUCACAUUUCUUAUCAUUUAAGAACGUGAUUGGUAUCUUCUUUAUUUUUUUUAGUUAGAGGGGAAGAUUAUCUUCGCCAGACUUUUGUUAUUUCGUCUCUCGUAGUUCAAACGAAUCGAAUGAUUUUUUCAAAGUAUUAUUUUGAAUUUGAGAGAGCUACUCAGUAAUGUUAGUCCUUUUGGGCGAGGUGGGAGAGGAAAUGCACUCACAGUCUGUCGUAGAGUCCAUGCCAACUAAGUUUACGCUCUUCUCGACUGCGACAGAAGAUAUGCCAUCUUGAUUCUUGCAUUUACUUUCCAUGUGAAAAUGACGGCAGAUGAUCCUCUGCUGCGGGCUGAUUGUUGAAAUUGAUAGACAAAGCCAUAGACAAAGAACCCAAAAAGUACAUGGAGAUACCCUAUUGGUGAAAACGGGUGGUUGCAAUGGAGAAAGAAGGUGAAUGAUAGACCGCUUAACGGCAACUCACGAGAGACCCUACAGUUUGUCCUUCAUUUUCUUCUUAGUGUGUAGAAACCAAUUAUUUCAGCCAAUAGGAUCGCUCGAUAACUCUUAUAUCUUCUUUGUCCAUAGCUUUGUCUACCAAUUUCAACAAUCAGCCCGCUGCUUGCUAUAAGUGCCUAAACUUAUUUGGCAUGGAUCUACCUAGAGUUUUUGAUACCUAGUUCAUAUGUAUCUCCAUUCCUUGUUAAAAUAUAUUCAGAUUCCUCUCAAAUCCAUGGAUUUGGCUUGAAGUCACAACACAAAUAUUCUUCUACUUGAUCAGGCAGAAAUUUCUUUUUAAUUCAUGGAAAAAAUACUUUGGUUUAUUUUCUCCCUAAAUUUGUAUUCCAAUACUUCCGUGCACCAUUAGUAUCAUAGAUUUGACGUGAUUUCCUCCCUUAACAAUGUGAAUAUGAAACAGAUUUUCAUAAUGUUAUAGAAUUAACUUUCUUUUGUGUUGUAGCUCAGAUUGAAAUUCAAUCAGAUUGCAUUGAAAACAAAUGCAAAAUUUCAUCCAAUUUUAUGGUCUGUGGGUUAAAUAAGUCAGUUCAACACAAUGCCAGGUGCUCGAUUAACAAUCUACAGUCUCUAUGGGAAAAAUGUUUUGCUUGUCCAGUUUUAGCGUCUAUGAUGUACAUAGUGGCAUGUAAAGUUUACAUGUGUGUGUUGAGCUCUCAAAAAAGUUAAUAAUUUGUGGUUUUUGUAAAAGAAGUGCACCUCAAUUCAUGCGGUUAUUCUUCCAAAUUUCAACUGUGAAAAAUCCCUGUUUUUGAAAUUUUCCUGUCUUAGCUAUCAACUCAUUUGAAAGGGUAGUUUAUUUAAGCAAGCUGCCUCAGUUUUUCAUUUGUAAAAGAUUUGUCAAGAUUGUAAUCAUGACUAUAACGGGUCAGUUGCGCUUCGCUUGUCACAGAAUUGAGUUUUGAUGAUUUAAGCUUUUAGAUCAGCUGAAAAUGACUAGCUUUGUUCAAACGCCAAAUUUCUGUGUCCAAUAUUAACGAAUAUAUCGCUCAUUGAAAAAUAGGUUGUCUAAUGUCUCUACCGCGGUAGUGCAAAUUAAAGUUUCUUCCACCUUGGUUUCACCCGUGUUUUUAGUUGAGCAACCAGUAAAAAUGUGUGUAUCACUGAUUUUUGAAAUCAAGGUAGAAGAAAUCUCGGUUGGCAUGCUUUUUUGUGGUGGAUGAAAUCGCACAUCAUACCUUUCAAUGAGCAAUAUUACUGAUAAUAUUGGACCUCGAAACAUGGCAUUUGAACAGAUCUCAGUAUAUUUGCUGCUGAAUAAGCUUAUACUAUGAAAAAACGAUUCUGUGACCAGCGCAAGUGCCACUCACGUAUUUCAGGUGGAGAAUUCACUUGUUCCAAGAAUUUCGUCCCAGUAAUUGGUCUCACGCUAAUUAUUUAUAUAAUAGUCUCCAAUUCUUUUUGUUGAACUUAAAACAAAUCUUUUAUUUGCGUGAACUCAACGCGCAGGGCUCCUCUCUGUUUUCUUUAAGUAUCAUUCGUUUGAUACACUUGGGUGUGAUAAUCAAUACUACAUUAUUUUUAAACAAAUUAUUUUUUGUACGUCAGUUAUCAGAUAGUUUUCCUUCCUACACUUUCCUUGUAAAUACAUACUUUACCCCGCAUCAACAGUUGAAGCACUUGUCUUAUUUGUUUCGAGAAAAUGCGUAUCUCUGCGGUACUCUUUGGAUUUCAAAUCCUAACACAACUUCUACAAUGUCAGUAUAAUGUUCAAAGGACAUUCAAACCCUUCGAAUUUUUUUCUAAGUGAAAUUAUCACAGUUAAGAGGGAAUGAAAUUUGAUGUACUUUAUUGUAAAUAUAAAAGUUUGUUCAGUAAAAAAAAAGUUAUUAUAAUGGUGGUCUUAUUUCUUCGGUAGUGUUUUGAAGUAGUAUCAGUUGUUAAUUUUUAUUGUGUUUCAGUCAUCAAUAACUACCCUGAAAGGUUGUUGAAGUGUCUUACCUUCUCCUUUUUGUUUCUUCGUCAACAGCAUUUUAAUCUCUAAGUGUGUCUUCAUCCUUUAU